rnacentral:lncRNA from 1 species
AGAUGACAAUCUUCAAAAGAACGGACAAGAUUUAAGAGAACCACUUCUUCAGUCUUCCAAGCUGAGAAUUAUGGUAAGAAACACGACCAAGAAUUACUCACGCUCACCGGAUUGAUGAAGAAAGAAAGGUCGAGCUAACGACGCAAAAAAAUAUUUUGAAGCAAUCUUGGAGAACGAAUAUGACUGAUGAAAUCUAUACCUACGUCACACCUGAAAGAAUUAGAGAUCUCCGGAAAAG